UAUCAAAGGACAAUGGGCACUUUUGUAUGGGGAGUGUCCCAUGGAUGUAUACUGUUGAGACAUAUGUCGUUUUAAAGCUCUUAAUCGUAGUAUUAUUUUAUUGUAUGGCACCAACCUUGGACCACUUGCAGGGACCGAGCUAUAUAAAAAAAGAAGUUGCGUAUAUAAGCAGUUAUAUUUCCUUAUAUGCGGGAUAUAAAAAGUUCUAACGUAUUUUAUUCGAAAGAAUAUAAAAAAUGCUUUAUGUUUUUUGUAUCAAUACCAAUGAUAAAGUAUUUAAAGGGACACAAUGUACAGUUUUAAAAAAUCGCCAUUCUAAAAAUUACUUGAUACACAGCGAAAUAAGAGUGUAUACAAAUGCCAUGUAUAUCAUGUGAAAAGUAUUUUUAUAAGCUAUUUUUCGUAUAAUAUAGCUGGGGUCAAAUCGUUGCAGGGAUCAAAAUAAAACCAUUUAAUGAGUUAAUUAAUUGUAGUUAAUUACGCCUUAACUUUUCUACUCAACGCCAGAUGUCGCUCUAAAGCAAAAUUCUACUUGACGUAAAGCAUUUAUACAUAGCGGUAAUCUCGUCAGUCUUACUCCAUCAUUUUAAAAAGUAUAGACUAGUUUAUGGAUUUCUAAAGUUAUGUCAAGAUGACUCUGAAUGUAAUAUUGUCAACAAUAAUUGUCAAAACACGCAAUUUAAAAUAUUCAAAAUUGUAAUUACAAAAUAGUAUAUUUUUAAUGCGCUAUAAUUUUCUCCAAUCGAAAGGCACUCCAUUCCAUUGAUCUCAGAGAGUAUGCUCCUUGAUGAUCUUCACUAUUCAUGGGGUAGGUAAGAUAAAAGUAUUAUUUUUUCUCGUAUAGCUGCUAUAUAGCGUUCGACUCCAUGGAAAAUAAAGUCUCCAAAUUAUAUAAAAAAUGUAGCAUAUAUACAAAGUGCAAUUUAGAUAGUAUUCCAGAAAAAAAUGCGCCAAUGUAAAUGCUGAAAAGUUUCCUAUCGUAUUGUCGACCAAAUUCAUAUCUCCUUCUGAUCUACGCGACCUUAGAAGUUUGGAUUGUCCUACCUAAUCAUUUUACAUUUUAUUGUUUUCAGAACAAGAAUUAUUUUACUUCCCACUGUCUAUGUAAGGGGACUUAGAGCGGAUUCAUACUUUACUAUACGUGUCGUGUCGAAUGAUAGUCCCUAUGUCAGUUUCUCCAAUUCUAUUUUGCGUAGGAUAAGUUAAAAAAAUAAUUAAAAAUAUGUGUUACUGUAUUUUUAUUAGUGAAAUGUUACCUAUAUUUCUAAGUUAAUGAUUGUACUAUACUUCCAAAAAUAUGUCUGACAAACAUUUUACAUGUAGGCCAUUUUUCCACGUAAAAAUGUAUGUCCUAUCAUGGAACAAUAAGGUUACGGACCGUGCGCGGAGCCGAAGCAACACGUAGAGCCCUUUGGCCACUUUAAUGAAAUGUAAGGGGUACUCCGAUCGGAUGCUGCCCUUGCCCGUAUUAUGAGUCGCACGCAGAGGCAGCACCCGCCAGGGUGUAAAGACUAUUUGAGAGUUUAUAGAAUCUAAAAUGAACCGUGCUAUUGGGUAAAAGCGAUGGAAUAAAUACUGGGCUAUGAAAUAAAAAAACCAGACGCCUACCUAAUAAAACGGUAUUCAAUUUUAUUUCCGGCAGACGGCUACUCGCCCCCACAAAAAGCGACAUCUAGGAUGGCUCAAGGGUAACACCGGUGUGAGCGGCUCAGGGGUGUUGAGAGGUGUACGCCGCUUUCUACCCAAGCAGCCACUGUGCCAAAUCGCGUCUUAUGCAUGGUUCACUUCCCCCCUGGAGCUUAUAGCUCUAACGAAUCCACUGUGGCCGGCCGGCUAAGGCAAGCCAGAGGCAGAGAAUCCUGUCCCACCCACCCUCCUUGCAGGUAACAGAACUCCCCAGGAGCACUCGGGUGUGUAAGGUCGCUACUCCCAACUUAUUAUAAUUGUUAUUACUUUCAGCAUUUUUAAGUUGUUCAUCGGACACUGAGGCCAUUGAAGUUUCAAGCUGGCGGCAUCAAAAUGGAGUACCGAGGUACUGUUUCAAAUAAAUGGGUGGUAAGUAAGUACAUUUGGUGAAGUAGAACUGCUGAUGUUGAUCAGAAACGGAACUCUUCCACGCGCGUGAUUUGUCUUCUUUGUUAAGUUUGUAGCGAGUAAGUUUGUAAUUUAUUGUGUCAAGGUAAAGGUCUGACGAUGGGUUCCAUGAGGAAGCGAGGAAACACCUCAAAUCUUAUAGGCAUAUAGUCAUUUUGGAUUUUCAUCAAUACCUUAAGCUUUUUCAUUCCCACUAGUGGCAUUUAAUGAAGUGGAACUACUGAUGUUGACCAAAACGGAACUCUUGAACGCGCGAGAUUUUUCUUUGUUUUUUUUUUAUGAUAUAAGAGGCAAACCAGCAGACGUCACACCUGAUGGUAAGCGAUUACCGCCGCCCAUGGACACCUGCUAAACCAUAGGGGUUGUAAGUUCGGUGCUGGCCUUUAAGAUUGGAAUACGCUGUUUUCUUAAAGUUUUAAAUGUCGUAUUGGUCCGGAAAUACCGCAGGCGACAGAUCAUUUCAUAGUUUAGCUGUAUGAGGCAGGAAGUUUCUAGAGAAAUGCACUGUUGAGGACUGCCAACCAUCUAAGUGGUGAAAAUAAAAAUGUUGUAGCGUAGAGCGCUGACGAAAAGAGGCGGCAAGGAUUAAUCCCGAGCAAUUCGAUGGAACACUCGCCGUAAUAGAUUUGUCCUGAUAAGUUUGUAGAAAGUAAGGUUGUUAAGAAACAUCUGUGUCUAGAUCCAGGUCUGAUAGAUACCUCAAACCUUAUAUUAUAUUAUAGUUUUUUUUUGGAUUUACAUCAAUAUCUUCAGGCGUUUUAUUUAAAAAAAGCUACAUUUGAUCAAGUGGAACUGCUGAUGUGUUCCAGAACGGAACUUUUCAACGCACACGUUUUGUAUUCUUUAUUAAGCUUGUAGUGAGUAAGGUUCUUAAGGUGUACUUAAUACAUCAAUGUCCAGUUCUGAUGAUGGGUUUCAUGAAGAAUCGAGGGAAUUCCUAAAAUCUUUUAGGCAUACAUGUAAUAAUUUCUGGGAUUUUAUUUACAUAUCAAGCAUUAUUAUUAAAAAGUGUCAUUUGACUAAAAGUAACAGCUGAUGAUGACCAGAAUGGAACUCGCCAACUCGCGCGCGAUUUGUUUUAUUAGUUAAGUUUGUAGCAAGUAAGUUUUAAGUAUUAAGGUUUUUAGGAACAUUUGUGUCAAGGUAAAGGUCUGAUGAUGGGUCCCAUGGGACCAUUCUUCAUGAAGAAUCGAGGGAAUUUCUUAAAUGCUAUAGGCAUAUAUGUAGUACUUAUUGGAUUUUCAUCAACAUAUUAUCAACUUUUAUUCACAAAAGUGACAUUUGAUGAUGUGGAACUACUGAUGUUGACCAGAACGGAACUCCAACGCGUGCAAUUUUUCUUCGUUAAGUUUGUAGCAAGUAAGGUUCUUAAGAAACAUUUUUGUCAAAGUACAGUUCUGAUGAUGGGUUUCAUAAAGAAUCGAGGGAAUUCCUAAAAUCUUAUAGGCAUACAUGUAAUAAUUUCUGGGACUUUAUUUACAUAUCAAGCAUUUUUAUUAAAAAAUUGUCAUUUUACUAAGUGUAACAGCUGAUGUUGACCAGAAUGGAACUCGCCAAACCGCGCGCGAUUUGUUUUAUUAGUUAAGUUUGUAGCAAGUAAGUUUUAAGUAUUAAGGUUUUUAGGAACAUUUGUGUCAAGGUAAAGGUCUGAUGAUGGGUCCCAUGAAGAAUCGAGGGAAUUUCUUAAAUGCUAUAGGCAUAUAUGUAGUACUUAUUGGAUUUUCAUCAACAUAUUAUCAACUUUUAUUCACAAAAGUGACAUUUGAUGAUGUGGAACUACUGAUGUUGACCAGAACGGAACUCCAACGCGUGCAAUUUUUCUUCGUUAAGUUUGUAGCAAGUAAGGUUCUUAAGAAACAUUUUUGUCAAAGUACAGUUCUGAUGAUGGGUUUCAUAAAGAAUCGAGGGAAUUCCUAAAAUCUUAUAGGCAUACAUGUAAUAAUUUCUGGGAUUUUAUUUACAUAUCAAGCAUUUUUAUUAAAAAAUUGUCAUUUGACUAAGUGUAACAGCUGAUGUUGACCAGAAUGGAACUCGCCAAAUCGCGCGCGAUUUUUUUUAUUAGUUAAGUUUGUAGCAAGUAAGUUUUAAGUACUUAAACAGUACAAGGUAAAGGUCUGAUGAUGGGUCCCAUGAAGAAUCGAGGGAAUUUCUUAAAUGUUAUAGGUAUAUAUAUAUAUAGUACUUAUUGGAUUUUCAUCAACAUAUUAUUAAGUUUUAUUCACAAAAGUGACAUGUGGAACUACUGAUGUUGACCAAAACGGAACUCCAACGCGCGCAAUUUUUCUUCGUUGUUAAGUUUGUAGCGAGUAAGGUUCUCAAGAAACAUUUUUGUCGAAGUACAGUUCUGAUGAUGUGUUUCAUGAGAAAGCGAGGGAACUCCUCAUUCUCCUCAAUUCUUAUAGGCAUAUAGUCAUUUUGGAUUUUCAUCAAUAUCUUUAGCUUUUUUUAUUCACAUUAGUGGCAUUUGAUGAAGUGGUGUUUGGUGGUGGUGGUGUGGUGUGGUGGUGAAGUGAUGUUGACUAAAACGGAACUCUUCAACGCGCGAGAUUUUUUUCUUUUUUUGUUUGUUGUGAUAUAAGAGGCAAACUAGCAGACGAAUCAACUGAUGGUAAGCGAUUACCGCUGGCCAUGGACACCUGUUACACCAUAAGGAAUGUAAGUGCGGUGCCGGCAUUUAAGAUAGGAAUACGCUCUUUCCUUAAAGUUUUAAAAAUCGUAUUGGGCCGGAAAUACCGCAUGCGACAGAUCAUUUCAUAGUUUAGCUGUAUGAGGCAGGAAGUUUCUAUAGAAAUGCACAGUUGAGGAUUGCCAACCAUCUAAGUGGUAAAGCGGUGACGGAAAGAGGCGGCAGAGAUUAAUCCGAACAAUUCCUCGGCACUUUUAAGUUUGUUGAAAGUAAGGUUCAUAAGAAAUAUCUGUGCUAGACACCAGUGUCUAGUGUCUAGGUCUGAUGAUGGACACCUCAAACCUUAUAGAAAUAUAUGUAGUUUUUUUUUCAUCAAUAUCUCUAGGUGUUUUAUUUAAAAAAAAGUUAUAUUUGAUCAAGUGGAACUGCUGAUGUUGUCCAGAACGGAACUUUUCAACGCACGCGUUUUGUAUUCUUUAUUAAGCUUGUAGCGAGUAACGUUCUUAAGGUGUAUUUAUAUCAAUGUUCAGUUCUGAUGAUGGGUUUCAUAAAUAAUCGAGGGAAUUCCAGACAUCUUAUAAUUUCUGGAUUUUUAUUUACAUAUCAAGCAUUUUUAUUAAAAAGUGACAUUUGACGAAGUGCAACAGCUGAUGCUGGCCAAAAUGGAACUCGCCAAUUCGCGCGCGAUAUGUUUUAUUUGUUUAUUUUGUAGCAAGUAAAGUUCUUGAAGACAUUUGUGUUAUAAGGUCUAGUUCUGAGGAUGGGUUCCAUGAGAAAUCGAAGAAAUUCCUCAAAUCUUAUAGGCAUACAAUAUAUACAGUAAUGUUUGGAUUCUCGUCAACUUAUCAAGCAUUUUUAUUUAAACAAGUUAGUGAUAUUGACCAGAACGGAACUCUUCAACGCGCGCGAUUCUUAUUCUUUGUUAAGUUUGUAGCAAGCUAGGUUCUUAGGAAAUAUUUGUGUCAAGGUCCAGUUAUGAUGAUGGAUUCAAUGAGGAAUUGAGGAUUUUAAAUCGAUUUGAAUUCUCAAUUGGGAGGAAUUGAGGAUUUUCGUCAACAUAUCAAGUUUUUUUAUUUGAACAAGUGACAUUUCAUGAAGUGAAACUGCUGAUAUUGAGCAAAAUGGAACUCUUCAACGACAAGUAUUUUACCUUAGGCGUUUUUUUUUUUCAUUUCGUUUAUAGCAUGUAAGGCUUUUAAGGAACAUUUGUGUCAAGGUCCAGUUCUGAUGAUAGGUUCUACGAGAAACCGAAGGAGCUUCUCAUAUUGUAUAGGCAUACAUAUAGUCAUUUUAGGAUUUUUAUCAAUAUUACAAGAAUUUUUACUCAAUAAAGUGACAUUUGAUGAAGUAGAAUUGCUAAUGAAGAACGGAACACCUCAACGACUUCCAGAUUCUUUAUUUUUAUUACUCUUCUUUCUUUUUCAUUAUUCUUAGAACAGGUAUUUCUACUAAGUGAACCGUACUGCUACUAUUAAAAGUAGGUAGGUAGGUUAAAUAGGUUAGAACUGUAAGGAUUAUUAAGUAUAAGUAGUCUUUCUUUUAAUUAAACAUAGGUAAGUAAUUCUAUUUAAGUAUAAGUAUCUUUAAAAAAAAACAUCAAUCGACUCUUAUCUGUCACUAGUUCCAGUUUCAGAGUAUAAAAGCCGGGUACACAGCUAGCCACGGCUAGCCGGGUAGCCAGACAGUUCGAAUACGGACAAGUUAUUGUGAAUAAAAAAUCUUAUCGUCUUGCAAAAGUUAUUGUCAUAAAUGUAUAGGUUUCGAAUACAUGAAUAUAAAGUUAAAAUGCUGGUAAAAGUAUUAGUUUUUAUCAUUAACCAUUUUAUAUCCCAACAAAACUGUUACCCUUACAAAAAUAAAAUGCUUUCAUUACCUAAUGUAGGUUACGUUGGUAAUAAAUAAAUAAAUAUGUAGGGACAAUCUUACACAGAUUGGCCCCAAACUAAUCAAAACUUGUACUAUGGGUACUAGGCGACGUUAAACAUACUUAUUUAGAUAAAUAUAUAUUUACGUAUAUACACAGAAAACACGCAUGCCUUAGGAACAAAUAUCUGUGUUCAUCACACAAAGAAAUGCCCUUACGCGAUUCAAACUCGGGACCAUCGGCUUCACAGGCAGGGUCACUACUCACUAGGCCAAACCGGUCGGCAAAAGGUAAAGAUAAUUAGGUAAAGACAAUGAAUAAUUAAACGUAUUAUAAAUUAAGCUAGGAGCGGGCUUCAGGCCAUUACGUCGCACCUUUAGAAUGAAACUAAUUUGACUCAAAAAGUACGACUACUUCAUAUAUGUAGUUUGGUAGAACAGUAAGAACUCACUAUAUGUGUCUCUUUUUCAUGCGGUGAAAUCCCCCCCACCCGGAAAGGGUAGCGACGCCCAUUUUAUCGACUCUCGAGUCGACUCCAAUCUGAUACUAAUAGUAAAAACCAUACGGCAAUAAUGAGGAUGCAUCGACAUAAGAAGAAUCGAACAUGGGCAAGAUAAAGUUCAAGAAAAAAGCAAAUAUAAUGUGUACUUGUGUGUAGUCAAAGAAAGUUGAAAAAUAAAGCAUAAUUAAUGGCCAUAGAAUACAGAACCGAUGCACGAACAUUAAGACUAUUAAAAAUAGACAUAGAGGUUGAUCGUACUACUCGUACUAAUGUAUUUCUUUUGUUCAAUUAUAUUGCAUUAAAGUUAGAUUCUCUAGGUAUAUAUUGUUCAUAGGUUCUGUAUUCUAUAUGAAUUGUUUUAGUGUAAUUAUUGUACUAAAUACCGUUGACCGCCUGUCAACAGUAUUUAUUUCUACAUUACUAUCACAGAAGAUUUUAGGCCCUACAGUAGUUUUUGAAUUAGUAUUUACUAUGGACAAAUAUAGCGAAAUGUGAGUUUUUACCUAAAAUAUCAAUCUUUUGUGAACGUGGUGUAGAGUAUAUACCGCCUAAGACUGAAGUAGCUACGCGGGCAACGUUUUCAGAAUAGAAUCGUGUUCAUGGUCGGCCCAUGGUAAAAAUAAUUAGGUACCCGUAGACCCACUGGUGAACACUGUUUAUGAUAACACUUAAAAUAAACCCCGUGGACCCACCAAGAGAACAUAUUGGAGAGACUAGAGAUAAUACACCGCUUUAAGGGCGGUCGCACACGGCAUUGACAUCUGGCGUCUAGAUGGCGGGUGUACCUCAGCGAAUUUCAAAGAAAUAUUUAUAAACAUCCAAUGACGUUCGGCUCGGACACCAGAUCUUCAAUCUCCUGAUUCCUGUGGAGUCUCCAGGUUCCAUCCUCUCCACGUGUGGGUCCUAGGAUUUUUCGCGCUGCCAGACUCCGAUGACUCGGGCACAUAGUCCAGAUGGGUGAGGAUCGUGCAGCCUGGAGGGCGUACUCUGAAGUUCCAAAUGGCCGAAGACCGUCUAGACGUCCUAGGUAGGUCCCGCUGGAGAGACGAAAUGCAAAAAGACCUUAGCGAACUCGGCGCCGUCGACUAGAUGGAAACAGUUUUGGACAGAGAAGCAUGGCGGUCUUUGGUGUAGGAGGCCAAGAUCCACUUCGGGUCGCUGCGCCACAGCAGUAAGUAAGUAUUUAUAAACAUAUUGUACCUUCUGUGUACCUAGCCCAAAACGAGAUAUUUAAGAAAAAGUCCAACCGCCAUUCUGACGUCAGGGUUGCGGUUGGACAGUCAGCGUCAAAUACUUUGUAGCAGUCAAAGUGGCCAAAUAGUUCGGUACACCAUACUAAAUAUAUGGUGUACCGAACUAUUUGGCUACUUUGGUUGCUACAAAGUAUUUGACGCUGACUGGACCUAUGAAAUCUUGCAUUAUACUGCACUAAAAGUAUGCAGUUAUAUGGUACAGUCGCCAUCAGAUAUAUCGGAGUGGCCGACGUGCUCAAAGAUAUCUAAACACGCACUCUAACCCCUGGACAGUAGAGGCAUGUUCAGAUAUUCGUGGGUACCUUGGCCGCUCCGAUAUAUAUGAUGGUGACUGUACCUUCAGUGUACCUCUGUAAAUAGAAAUAGAAACCGGUGUACCUCUCCCCAAAACAAGCUAGGCUAAGCUCAUGCACAAUAUACCUGCAUACUUUUAGUGCGGUAUAAUGCAAGAUUUCGUAGGUCCACCCGCCAUCCUGACGUCAGGUUGGCGGGUGAACCGUUUUGUAAAAUAUAUCGUUUUGGGGAAAGGUACACUGGUUUCUAUUAAAGGUACACUGAGGUACACAGAAGGUACAAUAUGUUUAUAAAUAUUUCUUUGAAAUUCGCCGAGGUCCACCGCCAUCCUGACGCUUACCAUAUAUCUAAGGACCGACCUUAGGGGCAAUAACGAUAGUGCUAGUUGUGUCAUUCACAAAUUCGAGUCAAUCGUGCUGUCUAACGCAACUAGAUGCGAUCAAUCGCAUGCGUAAUGCGAACUCAUCAACCAAUCACGUUGUGGUACUUGUGGCGUUAGACUGCACGAUUGGCUCAAACUCGUGUGCGUAACACCGCUGUACUGGCCCCAUUCUUAUUGCCCGUAAGGCCCGUCCUCAGAUAUAUUAUGUCAAUGACACAGUCGCGAUUUUAAAAAAUCCACUUCGCUUCUGCUACCAAAUUGUUGAGCAUAACGUUUUCCUAUCCAUAGGUUCCAUCUGUCCAGUAGGAUCCACCAUCUCGAUCCACCAGAUUGAAGAGAUUGUUACUUAACUGAUGGAUCGAGAUGAUGAAACCUACUGAAUAGAGCGGGUCGAUUGGCUGAAUUGGAUAUAACAAAGUACACUUAUAUGAAACGCUGUUCCGGUGUGCGAGUGAGACAGUCAGGCCAAUUUGUACUUGCAUUUGACAGAAACUGAUUGUUUCCAUCGAACGGUACCAGUUCCAUUGCCGGCCUCUUCGCUGCCUUCUAUAGUGGUUCAAUCUUACCUUGCUUAUGAAUAAAAAGGGGCGUGCACACCGAUAUUAGAGUAAUAUUGGAAUCAUAUCAGUUAGUUGCGGGCGUCUCGCUCGCACAAAUACAUGCGUAUAAGUGCGAAAUGAACGCACGAAUGACAGCUAACUGGUAUCAUUCCAAUAUUAUUCUAAAAUUGGUUUAAUGUCAGUUGCACUUUCGAAUUGGCCUACAUAGCGAUUUCCUUAGCCUGAACACCGGAUCGGCGUGUGGGCCGGCAUCUACCUAAUGUAAAGCCACCUCAUUAGGUGCUUUUAGCCUUUUGAACGGCAAGAACACCUAAAGAUGUGGUGAGAGAAAGCCGCGCGUCCCUCAUGCACUGCACUAGCUUUACAGCUUGCAUUGCGACCAAUGUAUGCCGCUCACCGCCCCGCCGGUCGUGUUGGUCCAAUUCGCGGCCCUAGAAGACGUACUUUACAUAUAAACAAGAGCACGCGAGCAUUUUGCGAGUUGUGUAUGUGUACUUGUGUUAUCUAGGCGCACAAACGGUUACAAUAACAAGAAGUGUACAACGCGUGUGCAGUCCAACACGGGAGUACGGGUGCGAUUCGAAAAUAACGCGCUAGCGACGCAUUACGACAUUGAUACUUUACCCUUUGAACGCCACAAACAAAAACGUUACUCACACGCCAAGGUCACGGGCGCAAGUGAGCUUGAAAGUGCAUGAGUAUUACAUUAGGGACUUUGACAGCGAUUAUAACAGCUAUAAUCAUUAAUGUGUUCAUGGCCCUUAAAUCAUGUCUAGUGACGGCGCCUUUAGGUGACUGACGUUCAAAAGGUUAAGGGCGUUUGCUAGCUGGCGCUAGUGCACGGAGCGGGCAAACACGCGCAGGUACGUUUGUAAGUAAAAUCAGUCGCACGCGUCCGCGCCAGUUAGCGUUGCUGAUACUGUAAGCCGCACGCCCGCUCCAUGCACACGCGCGACGUUGCGGACGCCCUAUGCCCUAAACCUUACUUGAAAGUGUGAAGGUUACUCUGACAGCGGCUAUAUCAGCUAUAAUGUAUUUAUGACGCAUAGCUAGUUAAGACGCCUUAAGGUAUUCUUGGCGUUCAAAAGGUUAAGGGCGUUUGCUAGCUGGCGCGAGUGCACGGAGCGGGUGCACGCGCGCGGGUGCCUUUGUAGGUAAAAUUCGUUGCACGCGUCCGCGCCAGUUAGCGUCGCCAGUUACUGUUUUUCGUUAACCCGCUCCAGCUAGCAAACUAAUCGCAAAUGGUCCGAGAUUGGCGCAAUAACCAUGCAUUACCUUAUCUGGAUCUGGAUACAACUAUUCACCAAUGCUUGCUUUAAAGUAACUUGUCGACUCGUCCUGAUAAUAUUUGUGCGACCGUGAAGAAAAUCUAUGCCGUCACUUAUUUUUCAAUUUAUAUGAAAUAAAGAUGUUAAAUGUAUUCAAAAGUUUUUAUUUAAUAAGGUAUGUAUAAGUGCUCUGUGCAUCCGCACCAGCUAGCGGUGCCCUUAGCAAACCAAUCGCAAAUGGUCCGAGAUUGGCGCAAUAACCAUGCAUUCUCUUAUCUGGAUCUGGAUGCACCUAUUCACUAGAAAAUGUAUGCCGUCAGUUAUUUUUCAAUUUAUAUGAAAUAAAGGUGUUAAAUGUAUUCAAAA